CAGAUUGACAACCAAGGUCCUCUAUUUUCAUCAAAAAAAACAGGUUUGAUGAGGGCAUAAGAAGUAUAAGCUUCCCCCACACUGCUCAAUCGACGUGCCUCAACCCUGACCCGACAGAGUAUCUCUAAGGGGAAAGAUAUUUGUUAAAUUUCUUUUCCAAUUAAUUUGACA
rnacentral:sRNA from 7 species